UACGGGGGGGGGGCAAGCGUUGUUCGGAAUUACUGGGCGUAAAGGGCUCGUAGGUGGCCAACUAAGUCAGACGUGAAAUCCCUCAGCUUAACUGGGGAACUGCGUCUGAUACUGGAUGGCUUGGAUUCGGGAGAGGGAUGCGGAAUUCCAGGUGUAGCGGUGAAAUGCGUAGAUAUCUGGAGGAACACCGGUGGCGAAGGCGGCAUCCUGGACCGAUAUUGACGCUGAGGAGCGAAAGCCAGGGGAGCAAACGGG
rnacentral:rRNA from 1 species